rnacentral:rRNA from 1 species
GAAAGCAUUUGCCAACAACGUUUUCAUUAAUCAAGAACGAAAGUUAGGGGAUCGAAGAUGAUCAGAUACCGUCGUAGUCUUAACCAUAAACUAUGCCGACUAGGGAUCGGGCGUUGUUCUUUUUAUGACUCGCUCGGCACCUUACGAGAAAUCAAAGUUUUUGGGUUCUGGGGGGAGUAUGGUCGCAAGGCUGAAACUUAAAGGAAUUGACGGAAGGGCACCACCAGGAGUGGAGCCUGCGGCUUAAUUUGACUCAACACGGGAAAUCUCACCAGGUCCAGACACAAUAAGGAUUGACAGAUUGAGAGCUCUUUCUUGAUUUUGUGGGUGGUGGUGCAUGGCCGUUCUUAGUUGGUGGAGUGAUUUGUCUGCUUAAUUGCGAUAACGAACGAGACCUUAACCUACUAAAUAGUGCUGUUAGCUUCGGCUGAACUGGCACUUCUUAGAGGGACUAUCGAUUUCAAGUCGAUGGAAGUUUGAGGCAAUAACAGGUCUGUGAUGCCCUUAGACGUUCUGGGCCGCACGCGCGCUACACUGACGGAGCCAGCAAGUACUAUCCUUGGCCGAAAGGUCCGGGUAAUCUCGUGAAACUCCGUCGUGCUGGGGAUAGAGCAUUGAAAUUAUUGCUCUUCAACGAGGAAUUCCUAG